rnacentral:rRNA from 1 species
GACGAACGCUGGCGGCGUGCUUAACACAUGCAAGUCGAACGGAAAGGCCCUGCUUUUGUGGGGUGCUCGAGUGUCGAACGGGUGAUUAACACGUGAGUAACCUGCCCUUGACUUUGGUAUAACUUCAGGAAACUUGUUCUAAUACCGUAUAGGAGCUCCUGCUGCAUUGUGUGCGUUUGUAAGUUUCGGCGGUUGGUUAUGGAGUCGCUGCUUAUCAUCUUUUUGGUGGGGUAUUGGCUUACCAAGGCUUUGACGGGUAGCCGGCAUGUGAGGGUGACCGGCAACAUGGGGACUGAGAUACGGGCCAGACUGCUACGGGAGGGAACAGUGGGGAAUAUUGCAGAAUGGGCGGAAGCCUGAUGAAGCAAGGCAGCGAGCGGGAUGAAGGCCGACGGGGUGUAAAAAGCUGUCGAGUGAGAGGAAGCGUGAGUGACGGUAAUGGGUAAAGAAGAACCGGCUAACUACGUG